rnacentral:misc_RNA from 1 species
GAAAUGCGAUAAGUAAUAUGAAUUGCAGAUUUUCGUGAAUCAUCGAAUCUUUGAACGCACAUUGCACCCUCUGGUAUUCCAGAGGGUAUGCCUGUUUGAGCGUCAUUUCUCUCUCAAACCUUCGGGUUUGGUAUUGAGUGAUACUCUUAGUUAAACUAGGCGUUUGCUUUAAAUAUAUUGGCACGAGUAGUGUUGAACAAUGUUGUCCGAACAUCAAUGUAUUAGGUUUAUCCAACUCGUUGAAACGUUUAGAUAAUGUUAUUCUUCAUUAGGCUUUGCCUUAUAAAAACAAACAAGUUUGACCUCAAAUCAGGUAGGAUUACCCGCUGAACUUAA